UAAUAAAAAAUGAACAAAUAUAAUAUUUUCUAAAUUAAAAACUAAAUCAAUCAAAUACAUUUAAUUAAUAAUUUUCAUACAAAUAAAUUCUAGAUAAUUGAAUCGCUUAUAAUUUAUUUUAUUUCCUUACAAAUUCCAUACUCGCAAUCAAACACAUCCUUAAUUUAAAAUCCUAUCUAAAACUCCAUCCAUAUCUUUAUAUGUAUCUCAAUCUUGAUCUCCAUAACAUGAGCUACCUCUCCAAAUGAAUAGGCCUAUAGCAUGGUCCAAGCCAAGGCGUGACGGGCUCGAGCUGGACCGAGCCAGGUUCCUGCUUUAUAGUUCUAUACACACGUGCUAGUACAGGCCAAACAAGGGUCUAUCAACUUAUACACAGACUUGAACUUGCAAAUAUCUGUGUUUCAACAGGAUUUAUUAUGGAUGUAUAUCAAUUGAAAAUGUAAAGAAAGUGAUGGUGUCUAGUUUCUGUCUGUAUAUACUGCUAAAUAACUUGAAUAAAGUGUAUGUUGAACCGUUACAAAUGUAAACACAGUUAUAAAAAAAAUCAUAACUGCAGCACAAUGAAAAACAUAUUCAUAUAUUGUAUCUUUAACAGAGUAACUCUACACGAUUGAUUUAAAAAAUAAUAUUGCUACAAUUUCAAGCAAUCUUAUCAGUCAGAUUGGCUGUAGUUGAUAUAUGCAGUAUUAGAAACGUUAAAGUCUCAGUAUACGAUGGAUGAUGUAUAAACCUGAAUUUUUUACAACACGUCAAGGUUAUCAAGUACCACUUCUCUUCAAUGAGGUUAAACUCGCUAGACUAAUAUACACGAAGAUGUAAUCAUUUAAAAAAGAUGCUGCUUUUCCUUUACCUCAAGAAUUUUGGGUUUGAUUAGCAUCCACGAGGUGAGACACUGCCAUAGGUUCAUAGGUGAUUUCGGAUUUGCUCGAAACAUCUUGUGAAAUGGCUCUAAUCUGAGACUUUUUACUGCUAGUUAAACAAUUUGAUCCUGAUGUAGGGAACACAUUGAAACUCGUUGCUCAUGGAUAAAGGAAACCUGCUCAACUUCAAAAACAACAAAACUAAAGCAAACAUAUGAUAACAUAUUUGAAAUAUUGUAACCAGAAAUUAUGUAUAGAAUUCAAGAGUGAAUUUCCAGAAUUCUAUCUCACGUUUCCUCACAAGUUUGGACAGAUUAAACAACGGAGGAAAGCUUCACAUUUUGCGAAAUUAUAAAUUCCAUUCAUGUAACAGAGGAAAUUGAUUCAAUUUGAGGAAAAUAAUAAUUGUUGAGGACACAAUCGAUUUAGAUAGACUCGGAGAAAAGAAGCUACAGAAACAAAUACUACUGCAAGAAGAUUACUAUAAGCUGCAGCAUAAUUUAGUUGCUGGAUUUGCAUCACAUACAGUGACCAAAAGGAAUGCAUGAGCACGCAUUUGCAUGAUUUCAUUUCCAACAUGUAUGCCACAUGGAAGUUGCAUCAUCAGAUCUCGGCCUUUCAGAGAAUAAUAAAGAGAGUCAUUUCAAACAAGUUUAUACAAAUUACCACAUGAAAUUCCAUUUCCAGACAAAAUAGUCUCAGGGUACACAUCCACGUUUCGGUUCCCACAAAAAAAAAGAAAAGAAAAAAAAAAAAAAGGAAGUGAGAUGGUGAGAUUGGAAAUUAUACACCUCCGUGUAUAAUGAACUUACUUUACAUAUACAGACACACAUAUGCACAUGAACGGAAUAAUACACAUUACAAACAAAUGUACAAAUAUAUGCACAUGUACAUAUAUGUUUGCAUCGAUGUGCAUGUCUGCACCAGGUUCUCUGAUCAUUUUGACAGGGUAUCAUGCAAAAACACGGGAUGCAGAUGUUGUCUUCAAUAAUAUGAGCUCUUAUAUGUUUCAAUAUGACAACAAUCUAUUAGAAACAGAACACAAGAAUUUGGAAUCAGCUUCACUAAAACAAGCUUCAAUACUACGACAAUUUAUUAAAAGAACUAUACAGUACUAGGUAACCUAUUUCCUAUCUUAUUCGACAAUACGUACCUUAUUCCCUAUCUUUGUUUCUAUCUUAUUGUAUCACAUUCUGUUCUAGAGAUUUGAACAUCACCCUCAAUAUCUCAGUGUAGGUUGGAAAUAUAUUUUGUUCCAUAGCCCUGGACUAUGUCCAAUGCUCCAAUUCAGAAUUGUCAGAUAUAAUAGCACUGCAUCAAAGAUGUAUUCAUCACUUCUGUUGACAGUUCAAAAUUACCGUGAGUAAACUAUUAACAAAGAGAAAGGCAUUUUUGUUAUGCUACUAAUACUUGUACUCAACUCAACCAAAAAGGCCAAUGCUUAUUCUUAACUUCGCCCCCCACCCCCCAUUUAAUUGCACAAAGAAUUGCCAACGUAUAGCUCUGAAUCAAGACAAAGAACAUCAAAAUCUGCUAUAUAAAUGCAAAUCUAUAUUAACUCCUUGAUAUACGACUUUUUUCUAAAUUAAUUUGCUGACAGACUCCCUGUAACUUGAGAAGAGUAAAAACUUAUGACUCUAAGCAAAACGCUAUGAAAGUGUCAACUUUCAUGACUAACUAUUAUUACCACAGAUAAAAUUAAUCAUAUUCAACGACCGACUUCAUAUCAAAUCAGACCAAAUGUAGGAAAGGUAUAUUUUUUAAUACCAAAUUAGAACUCAAAAUGCAGGCAAAGUCUUCGAAAUUUAGUUAAUAUGAAUUUCAAGAUUAUAAGGAACUUAGAGCACGCUCAAAGUAAAAUGCCGCAAAAUAAAGGUUUCAAUUUCUUCAGAAUUCAGAAAAUGCAAUUGAAUAAAUUGUCUACAUUCCGAAAAUCAAGUUACAGGACAAGAGAAGAUGGCUCUAAAGCUCAAUGCCAUUUGUUCAAUUUUUCCUACACAAUACCAAAGUAGGGAAGCAUGAAUGACUUCAUUAAUUACAUAAAUGAGACAAUAUGUGAAUGUAAUAUUAGGCUACCUCAAACAAGGAGAACCUGACAUUGAUCCAACUUGUUGUCUUCCUUUGGCAAUCCACAAAUUGAAAUAGGUGACACAAACAGGACAAGCCAUCCCACAACUAUCCAAUAGUUCCUUAACACACAAUUAUCAACAUAAAUUUCCUCAAUUCACAUCAGCUCCGACAAAAUAGGGGAAAAUGUGUUCGAAGCAAGAUUCAAAAUGGAGAGAUAUAUAAAACAAGAAAAUAAUGGAAUAUAAUGAUCAGUAACAAAUGAGCAAUGUUUUCAAGAAAGAAAAUGCAGACAACUAAUUUCCCCUCUUCUUGUGUCUGGUCAGGAGAUGGGACAUAUACUGCACAGAGAUUGCACAACAAAAAUUAUAGUCAUGGCAGAAGACAAGCCGAGAAAACAAACAUAUUAAAAUGUUUAGUAUUAGAGAAUAUAUUUCUACAAUAUUUAAAAGCAAUAAGUAUUAAUAAAUUAUUGAACUUUCCAUUAAAAUAACACAGCCAGAGAAAAAGAGAUACGAAUACUCAACCGUUAGGAGAUUUCUUUAUAAAUAAGCAGCGGUAAUGGCCAAAGGUGGAUGCAUUACCUGCAGAAAUCAUGCUUGAUAUGCAUCAUUUCAUGCAGAUAUGCUUGAAGAAGUGAAGCAAACUCAAAAUACAGAGUGUCAAUCACUUCCAUUUAUAUUGGGAAUAAACAAAGGCAACAUCAAUGAAGAUUCUAUUAUUAUUUCUAUCCACAAGAUAACUCACAUACAAGUGCUCGAAUUUAUUUUUAACACUCAAUAUUAGUUAUAACUUUACUAAUGCAUAGGGUGAUACUAGAUUUGGCCAAAAGAAGGGGAAAGUGCUCGAUGAAAAUAAAUAAAAAUGGAAACAAUUCUUAUUCUAUGCGAUGCAAAUCAUAUUCCUUAUUAAAGGUCACAUGCAUGCAUCUCACUUAACACUAUGUUAAAACUUUUCAAAUCUAUGAACACAUUCAAUCAACCUAACUAAUUGGUCGAGAAAAUAGUAAUAGUUACACCAAAAUAAGAGAGUAACACAUAUUAACGGCAAAAAGGUCCUCUUUCCUUUCUGAUACAAUUAAAUUGAGCAGAUAAUUACCAAAUCACAUCUAUCUCAAUAAAGAUAAUCAAGAUCCAUAAUUAUUUCACUCAGAUCCAGCAAUAUUCCAUCACAUUCAGAUAAAACUUAAUCCAAGCCAAAUCUAUAAAGGAUUCAUCUGCAUUCAGCUGUUGAGAUACAAAAUUCAUCGCGGCCUCAGAUUCAGUUGAUGCAAGGCGGGAACCUAAUUCUCGCUUAAAAGAAUCGACUUCAAUUAUAAACCAUAUAGUAAUAUGAAUUAACAUUAUCAGAUGCCCAUAAUUUCUGUACGAGGAACUUGAUUCCCGACCUGCACCAAGCGAAUUAGAGACCGCCGCAAUACAUACAAGAUCUGAGCUACAAAAACGAGGGCCUAGGUGUAGGGCUAGGGGUGGCGGGCGGGCCGCCCUACGAAGGG
rnacentral:lncRNA from 1 species